UAGGCCCUGAAUCAAGACCAGUGGUUUAUUGUAGUUGUUGGUUUCAAACAGGAGCCAAGAGCAGUGUCUUCCUGUGUUGGCCAUUUAGGACUCCAGUGGGAAUGGCCUAUUCAAUAGGAAUAAACAUAG